UGAUUAUUUAGAAAUCAAGUUUGGAAACAAUUUUCUGCACUUUAGAAAACAUAAUAGACAUUUAGUAUCAAUACCAUAAAAUAUGGAUACCCCUUUUAAACUUAUCGAUACCUAUUACGGUUUUAUGAUACUACACCGUGUUUUCUAAACAUAAAACAAAUUUUCCCCUACCUUUUUUCUCAUCCGUUUUUCAUUCCCAUAUUAUCAUUUUCAUCAAAAGGAUUACACAAGGUUUCUCAAGGAUUUCACCAUUUUAAAACACAUUUUGAGGUAAAAAAAAAAUUAUUUCGAAAUUUCAUUAAAAUGUUUGUUAAAUAGCUAUUUUGAAAUUGAGUUUUGAGAUGAUUUAUAACAUAUUUAUUGUGUUUUUAUGCAGGAGAUUACCAAAUUUUUUGCCCGUAUUAUUGAAAAUCUUGUUUUAAUCUCUUGCUCACCAAGUCUUUGUCAAAAUUUCCCAACGAAAUUUCUUAGUAAAAUUAGUGUGUUCUAGAAUUCUAGAUUAAAUUAUGCCUCUUAAGAAAUGUCUUAGCUUCGAUCCCUCUUAUGCUAGUGCCCCUAGUGGGUCUAACUUGUCCUUUGGCGAAUGUUUUCGUUCUCUGGGAGAACGAGAACGUUUUGAUAGAAACUUCAUCACUCAUCUAGUUAAUACCUCUAGAACAUUAGAUGUUGAUUGCUUAUAAUCAUUUAAUUUUAGGUAUCUUCCCCUUUUACGUAAGUGACAAUUUCUUGAUUUCUUUAGAAUAGUUCUCCCGAAAACCUUGUCCGAGCCUUUUAUAGUAACCAAAUGGUCGAAUAUGAUGAGUCCGACGACACUGUUAUUGCCAUUAAUUCCUAUCUUAUGAAUACAGAUAUUUACCUCACUCUAGAAGAUUUCAGAAAUUUUGUCAUUACCUCCCGGUUGUGUCUAAUGAAAAGGGUUCUUUUAAUCCCACCAAUUUGGGUCCAUCUAAUCUUGCUGUUAACUUAGAUAUGCAUGAUCAAUUAUUGCAUUUCAUUUAUCUCUUGGAUCUUUAAACCCAUAUCUAAGCAUAUAUCGUCAUUCGAAACAUCGAUUAUUGGUGGAUCGAUUGCUUUAAGUCAAACAGGUGUUCGGAUGUUGCUCUUCUCAUGUAUAACGACAUUACCAAAUCUAUUGGGAGAGACCUAGGUAGCUCUGUAACCUUACCAUCUGGGACCUGUCUUUUUUUUUUUUUUUCUUGUUUGGGCAUCAAAACUUGUGUCAAUACCCCUAUCUGAAGACAUCAACCUAUCGGUAUUGGGGCUCUUCAUCAUGCCAAGUACAAACAAAAUCCCUCUACUGGAGAAUGGGAGAAAGAAGGCCAAGCGGCGUGUCAUGAUGAUGAAGACCUUGGAGUUGAUCUUGAUGAUAUUCCACUUCCUGCCAAGAAGGCUCCUCCACCGGCAUCUUCAUCUGCUCAACCAUCUGCUCUGUCUCACUCUGACAACAUGUUUGUUGCCAUCCUUGGUGCUAUUACUUCCUUGAGUGAGGAGUUUAGAGGUUUUUGUACUUGUGUAGAUGAUGCUUUUGAUUGAGUAAAUAAUAAUGUUGGUAAUCUAGGCUCUAGGAUAAAGACUUUGGAGGAGCAAAUGGCUCAACUUCUUGCUCGCUUUCCUCCAGUGGAUCCUUCAUCAUCACCUAGGGAUGAUUAGUUUAGACCAUUCAUACGUUUGCAUCAUGCAUCUUUUAAUUUGUUAAUGUACUCUUCUAUUGUCCUACUUUAAUUUGGGA
rnacentral:lncRNA from 1 species